GAUGAACGCUGGCGGCGUGCCUAAUACAUGCAAGUCGAACGCAUUGUGGUUGAAAUGAUAUGAAGAACUUGUUCAGAUUUGAUUUUCAACAUUGCAAUGAGUGGCGAACGGGUGAGUAACACGUGGGAAACCUACCUCUUAGCAGGGGAUAACAUUUGGAACAAAUGCUAAUACCGUAUAAUAAUUAAAACCGCAUGGUUUUAGUUUAAAAGAUGGUCUUGCUAUCACUAAGAGAUGGUCCCGCGGUGUAUUAGUUAGUUGGUGAGGUAAUGGCUCACCAAGACAAUGAUACAUAGCCGAGUUGAGAGACUGACCGGCCACAAUGGGACUGAGACACGGCCCUAUACUCCUACGGGAGGCA
rnacentral:rRNA from 1 species